rnacentral:misc_RNA from 1 species
CCUGACCCCAAAUUAAUUUGGACCUGGCAGCCGAAGGUGCGGCGAGUACCCGACUUUCCUAAGUGUACUGUGAGGAAGGGUUCUUGAAAUCACGGAGAGCAGUCAUCGGGUGCAGUGGCAUUGCUCUGCCUUGUGUCUUGUUCACCUACCAUGGUGUGGCCGGCCAAGGUCGACGGGAGCCGAUUCUUGACGGGAAAGCAGCUGUGGAUGGCGAUCUGCGGGAUCAAGCGAAUCGCCAAAUGUCGCCUAGACAAGGUUUACAUGUUCACAUUUGUCACGUGCUUGUGCGCUCUCUUUCUGAUAUCCUGGAAACGCCAAGACACCUACAGAGUCUCCAAGGAAAUCGAAGUUCCCAGUUCAGAGUGUCAUCGCUGGUGUUACGAGUACCUUUUGGAGACAGAGGGCAUGCUGCGGCAUUUGCUCAGCAACAAGGGAAAUUUCACAAGCACCAGGUGGCAGCACGAAGGAAGCCGCAAUAAUGGUGACAAUACUCAGGUGACAGACAUUAAGCCAAACGAGGGUGGAUGGUCCAGUGCCCUGGACACGCAACACACAUUCCGGCUCGUGGAGAGGCUGCUCAAGAACGCCAUCCCGGGGCAGGGACCAUAUCCGUGGUCAAAGGUCGUGCACUCUGACCAGAAAGCUGCUAGAAAGGUCGAAUCCGUCAGCUUGACUGCGAGUUUAGGAGUGAUCGGCAAGCAGGAGGAAGAAUUAUUUGUUAUUCUUCCGCUCCAAGGAGUCAGAGGUCAAACAGAGCAAGGUCAAGAGAGUGGGGUGGGUCAAGCCCAAACGUCAUCCGAAGCACGAGGAGGGGUCUCAUCUUCUGCCUCCCAGCAGACUGGGGGAUUGGCGCCAUCCGAGAAAGACACGGUGACGCUCGUGAAGGACCUGCGGGACCGCGUCCAGCGCAUCGCCGCCCUUUGUCCUGCUGUACGCAGGAACCAGACUUCUGCCGAAGUUAAUCGCGAUCACAAAACCGCGGUCGGGCGUACCACGGGUGCUGUGUCCUCUGUGGAGAGAGUAAAGGGUGUCUUCUACGACCCGGGUAGCCGCACCGCCUACUGCUUCGUGCCUAAAGCUGGAUGCACCUUCUGGAUGCGGGUGUUCGCUUUUGUCACUAACAGAACGGGGUCGGCCAGGUCGCCCUGGGAUAUCCCUCGCCUGACCGUGCACGCCGGUGGCAACAGCAGCAACAACGAAAGUAAUUACCCCCACGGUGGUCCUCUGUGGUACUAUGAGAAAGAUGCCAUGGCCCCCGACACCCUGCGCUUUGUCGUGACACGUGAUCCGUUCUCGCGUCUGUGGAGUGCUUACGUGGACAAGAUGAUGUUACCCGAUUUCUGGAAAACCAUGGGCGUGCCAGCUGUUCGUCGUUUCAGGACACACCCGAGCCAGAAAUCCAAGAGGUGUGGCCAUGACGUCACGUUUUCCGAGUUCGUUCAGUGGAGUCUAAGCGUCCGCAACUCCCAUUGGGAGCCCAUCCAUCAGCGCUGCGACCCUUGUCGUUUCCGCCCCCACGUCGUCUCGGACCUUCACACCUUCUCGCGGGAUGCACGUCCGGUCCUGCGGCGCAUGGGCGUGGAGUGGGUGCUAACCAAUCUGACGUCACGAGGACAGCGCGAGGCCGAGCUGCGGACGCUGAUCGAGUACAACUUCGUCCUCCUUGACACCCCAUCCUUGCCCAGCGACUGUCUGACUGAGACGGAACUGGCCCGCCUGCUGUGGAAGACGUUUCAGAUCAACGGUUACCUCCCCAUAGAGGUGCAGUACGAGCAAGCUCUGACGUCGUUUUCAGUGACGUCAUUCACGGAUCACGUGAUAAGCAGAUUCCGGGCAUCGGAGGGCCUGGAGAAACGCCUGAAAGAGCAGAAACGAUACCUGAUGGAGGAGGCGUAUCGGUCUCUAUCACCGGAACUUCUACAGAGCCUCAGGGAGAAGUACGACCUCGAUUUCAAGUUGUUCGGGUAUUCGAGUUCCCCUUUUCGUGCCUAGAGGUGGUGACGACACUCUUCAGGGUGCUUAGUGGAGGAGUUCCUACCUUACAGACGCUUAGUCGCCUUUCACCUGGACUUUCGGGACCUGCAUUACGGGUUGAAAGGGUAGGUAACAGCGAGGAGUGGAAUGUGGCGAGUAGGUUUGACAAUGACCAGAGGAGUCUAGACACUCUGACCCAGUGAUAUGGGGUCAGGAGUAAAGGAAGUGAACAGUCGGCUAGGUUGAGGUGAUUAAUGUAAUAGUGGGUUGACAUAAACCGCAGAAAGUGUUUUGAUACCUUGGUAAGUGCAUGUGACACCUAGAACUAAGUGGUAUACAGACCAGCAGAUUAGAUCGGAGUUAAUGAGCCUGUUGUUGGGAGUGUGUAGCAUUGGUGCAGUGAACCUUACAAAACAAACCAAAACGGCGGGGGAGGGGGAGAGGGAGGAAGAACCGAGGGCCAAAAGCAAGAGAGAAAGAGAGAACACAAAAACAUUUUCCUGUGCAACACCCAACUGCCAUCCAAUAUGUACACGCAUGACUAUGCCCAGGCACUAGACUCGUUGUCACAUGACACAUUCUGUGCACGUCACAGUCAUCUAUCACUGUAACAACGAGUGUCACGCAGUCGCGUGACAGCGCAUGCACGCAUCGCACUAUUCGCCAGACCUCGCUACACAACGAUACGGUUGUUGCCAUGAAAAUGUUUUAGUUUUGACGAGAUAUUUUGUUAUCGCCUAUCGGUAAAACCGUCACUUAUCUAACGUCAUAUUUUGUGACCUGGCUUUAUCCUGGCUGUGAUACUUUUUGAUCUUCUAUGCGAAGCUUUGAGACGCUUUUCCCUCGACUUGCAUAUUAUGUAUGAUGUGAAGACCUUCGCCCCCAGGACAUGCGCCGACAUGUGAAAGUUGUCGGUUGAUGACCUUAAUAUGAGACGUGGGCAGCGACAAGGAAGUGGAUAAAAAGAACAUGACGGCGUUGCGAAAGAUUCCCUUCAUCCAUGUCUGACCGCUCUAUGGGACCAACCACUUCAGCCAGUUCUGCCCACGUCACGUCAGCUGGAAGCUCCAUUCAGGUUCUAUGGCAGGUGGUCGAUGUUUGACCGACUCUGACCUCCUGACCUGAUCACGUCAGUUCUCAUCGGCAGCAACAGCAUUUCUAUGCAAUAUCUGUAGCUGAUAUUGUAAAGGUUUUUUUUAAAAAUCAAAUCACAGCGAGAGCUGUCAACUUUAAAAAAAAAUUAUUUUUACACUGCCUGCUCCCGUUCCUUUUAAUUUCGAUCACGACCUCUGUGUGAGAGAGAGAGAGAGGAGAAAUUUUUAUUUAUGGGGUAACAGAAUGAGCAAAAGCUAUUACACAUCAAAGGUGUUAAUCAAUGGACAUGCUUUUUUGGCACACUGACUUUCAAACCUGGAAUGUGAUUAUUAAUUAUUAUAAAGUUUAUCUUAUUCUGAAUAUUA